rnacentral:rRNA from 1 species
GACGAACGCUGGCGGCAUGCCUAAUACAUGCAAGUCGAGCGAACAGAUGAAGUGCUUGCACUUCUGACGUUAGCGGCGAACGGGUGAGUAACACGUAAGGAAUCUACCUAUAAGCGGGGGAUAACAUUCGGAAACGGGUGCUAAUACCGCAUAAUAUCUUCUUCCGCAUGGAAGAAGAUUGAAAGACGGCUCUGCUGUCACUUAUAGAUGACCUUGCGGUGCAUUAGUUAGUUGGUGGGGUAAUGGCCUACCAAGACGAUGAUGCAUAGCCGACCUGAGAGGGUAAUCGGCAACAUUGGGACUGAGACACGGCCCAAACUCCUACGGGAGGAAGCAGUAGGGAAUCUUCCGCAAUGGGCGAAUGCCUGACGGAGCAAUGCCGCGUGAGUGAAGAAGGCCUUCGGGUCGUAAAACUCUGUUAUAAGAGAAGAACAAAUUGUAGAGUAACUGCUACAGUCUUGACGGUAUCUUAUCAGAAAGCCACGGCUAACUCCGUGCCAGCCGCCGCAGUAA